AUUGAACGCUGGCGGCAGGCCUAACACAUGCAAGUCGAGCGGGGUUUUCGGACCUAGCGGCGGACGGGUGAGUAAUGCGUAGGAAGCUACCCGAUAGAGGGGGAUACCAGUUGGAAACGACUGUUAAUACCGCAUAAUGUCUACGGACCAAAGUGUGGGACCUUCGGGCCACAUGCUAUCGGAUGCGCCUACGUGGGAUUAGCUAGUUGGGGGGGUAAUGGCUCACCAAGGCGACGAUCCCUAUCUGGUUCAAGAGGAUAAACAGGCACACUGGGACGGAGACCAGGUCCCGACUCAUACGGGAGGCAUCAGUGGGGAAUAUUGGACAAUGGGCGCAAGCCCGAUCCAGCCAAGCCGCGUGUGUGAAGAAGGCCGUCGGGUAGUAAAGCACUUUCAGUAGGGAGGAAGGGUGUUGUGUUAAUAGCACAGCAUUUUGACGUUACCUACAGAAGAAGCACCGGCUAACUCUGUGCCAGCCGCCGCCGUAAAAC
rnacentral:rRNA from 1 species